rnacentral:rRNA from 1 species
AACGAACGCUGGCGGCAGGCCUAACACAUGCAAGUCGAGCGCCGUAGCAAUACAGAGCGGCAGACGGGUGAGUAACGCGUGGGAACCUUCCCAGUGGUACGGAAUAGCCCAGGGAAACUUGGGGUAAUACUGUAUACGCCCGCAAGGGGAAAGAUUUAUCGCCAUUGGAUGGGCCCGCGUUGGAUUAGCUAGUUUGUGAGGUAAUGGCUCACCAAGGCGACGAUCCAUAGCUGGUCUGAGAGGAUGAUCAGCCACACUGGGACUGAGACACGGCCCAGACUCCUACGGGAGGCAGCAGUGGGGAAUAUUGGACAAUGGGCGCAAGCCUGAUCCAGCCAUGCCGCGUGAGUGACGAAGGUCUUCGGAUUGUAAAGCUCUUUUGGCGGGGACGAUAAUGACGGUACCCGCAGAAUAAGCCCCGGCUAACUUCGUGCCAGCAGCCGCAGUAAGAC